rnacentral:tRNA from 1 species
UCCCUCUUAGCUCAGUGGUAAAGUACUUCACUAGUAUUUCACUAUGCCAUAGUGAGUAACGUUGCAUGAAGAGGUCAGUCGUUCAUGACGGCUAGAGGGAA